rnacentral:rRNA from 1 species
AUACGUAGGUGACAAGCGUUAUCCGGAUUUACUGGGCGUAAAGGGCGUGUAGGCGGUCUUGCAAGUCAGAAGUGAAAUUCCUGAGCUCAACUCGGGCGCUGCUUCUGAAACUGCAGGACUUGAGUGCUGGAGGGGAUAGCGGAAUUCCUAGUGGAGCGGUAAAAUGCGCAGAUAUUAGGAGGAACACCGGUGGCGAAGGCGGCUAUCUGGACAGUAACGGACGCUGAGGCGCGAAAGCGUGGGGAGCAAACAGGAUUAGAUACCCGGGUAGUCCACGCCGUAAACGAUGAAUACUAGGUGUAGGGGGUAUCGACUCCCUCUGUGCCGCAGUUAACACAAUAAGUAUUCCGCCUGGGGAGUACGGCCGCAAGGUUGAAACUCAAAUGAAUUGACGGG